GGAGAGGAAGAUGUUGGAAUUCAGGAACAUCUUGGAGAAGGAGAAUUGGAGGGGAGCUUCAGCAUCUCCCGUGACACGCAGACUCCAGGAAGACAUGGUGCCUCUGGAGCUUCUCCCUACUAACAACUGUCUAGACAUCCUCUGGGACUAGCAAGACAGUAGAAGGUGGUCAGUGAUCUCCAGUUCCAGUUGUCUGGACUGGAAACCGUUUAGGCAGGAUUGAGGAUCCAGAGAUUCCCUUUGCUCAACACGAAGAUCAAAGCUCACCUCUCUUCAGUGCACCAAGGGAGUCUCUGUUCUUCUGGGAGCUCAGUGUAAGCCAGAAGAGGUGGAGUGUGUGGGAGGUGGGUCAGUGG